rnacentral:rRNA from 1 species
GACGAACGCUGGCGGCGUGCUUAACACAUGCAAGUCGAACGAUGAAGCUAGAGCUUGCUCUGGUGAAUUAGUGGCGAACGGGUGAGUAACACGUGAGUAACCUGCCCCGAACUCUGGGAUAACUGCUGGAAACGGUAGCUAAUACUGGAUACGACCUACGAAGGCAUCUUCUGUAGGUGGAAAGAAUUUCGGUUCGGGAUGGACUCGCGGCCUAUCAGCGUGUUGGUGAGGUAAUGGCUCACCAAGGCGACGACGGGUAGCCGGCCUGAGAGGGUGACCGGCCACACUGGGACUGAGACACGGACCAGACUCCUACGGGAGGCAGCAGUGGGGAAUAUUGCACAAUGGGCGCAAGCCUGAUGCAGCAACGCCGCGUGAGGGAUGACGGCCUUCGGGUUGUAAACCUCUUUUAGUAGGGAAGAAGCGAAAGUGACGGUACCUGCAGAAAAAGCACCGGCUAACUACGUGCCAGCAGCCGCCGUAA